GCGAUGAUGGUUCAGUGGUAGAAUUCUCGCCUUCCAUGCAGGAAACCUGGGUUUGAUUCCUAGCCAAGGCA
rnacentral:tRNA from 1 species